GUUGCCGGGAAAAUUGUGGUAUGUGAUCGAGGGGGAACUCCUAGAGUCCGAAAGAGCUUGGUGGUAAAAAAGGCUGGUGGCUUAGGGAUGAUUUUGGCGAACACUGAUACUUACGGAGAAGAACUUGUUGCAGAUGCAUAUCUCUUGCCUACAGCAGCAGUUGGCCAGAAAGCUGGUGAUGCAAUAAAAAGCUAUAUUGCCUCAGGUUCUAAUCCAACAGCCACAAUUGCUCUGGGAGACACAGAGUUAGAUGUGCAACCCUCACCAGUGGUGGCAUCAUUCAGCUCUAGAGGACCAAAUCUCAUCACUCCAGAAAUACUCAAACCAGACCUAAUAGCACCAGGAGUGAACAUCCUUGCUGGGUGGACUGGUGCAGUUGGACCAACUGGAUUAGCUGAAGACAAAAGGCGGGUCACCUUCAACAUCAUUUCGGGUACAUCCAUGUCAUGUCCACAUGUGAGUGGUUUGGCCGCCCUCGUCAUGGCAGCUCACCCAGAAUGGAGCCCUGCUGCCAUUAAGUCUGCACUCAUGACCACAUCCUAUACAACUUACAAAACUGGAGAAACAAUCAAAGAUAUAGCAACUGGAAAUCCUGCAACACCGUUCGAUUAUGGUGCUGGGCAUGUGGACCCAGUGGCAGCCCUUGACCCUGGCCUUGUCUAUGAUGCUGCUGUCGAGGACUACCUAAGCUUCCUCUGUGCCUUGAAUUAUACCACAACCCAGAUCAAGCUAACCACUCAUAAAGACUUCACCUGCGAUUCAAGCAAGAAAUACAGCCUUCGAGAUUUAAAUUACCCAUCUUUUGCUGUUCCUCUAGAAACAGCUUCAGGCAAAGGGGGUGGUUCUGGAGCUUCAACCACUGUAAAAUACACACGGACGCUGACCAAUGUGGGUACCCCGGCAACAUACAAGGUAUCAGUGUCUUCACAGACACCAUCAGUGAAGAUCACGGUUGAACCAGAAUCACUGAGUUUCAGUCAAGCAUACGAGAAGAAAACUUAUACUGUGACUUUUGUUGCUAGUUCUUCACCAUCCGGUACAACCAGCUUUGGUCGGCUGGAAUGGUCUGAUGGGAAACACACAGUAGGUAGUCCUAUUGCUUUCAGCUGGGAAUAAUUUUAACAGCAUUGAAGAACUGAUCCAACUCCAGAUCAGAAUUGUAUGGUUCCUGCCCAAAAAAAAAACCAAGUGUAUAUCUCUUAGUAUGUUGUGAACUUGUCCUGUAGCUCUCUGGUAUCCUAACAACUGAGCACAUAUAGCCAGUUGAUGUGUUUCUUUUUUCCACUCUUGAAAUUAAAAGGGAAUGCAAAGAUGGAAAAUUAAUUGUACAGGAAACUGUAUAGACAUGGGGCUUCGAAAAGGAUUCCAAGUUGUAUUCAUAUAUGAUAUAUAAGUUAUAACUAAAGCUAAGAUGACCUUAUCUUCAUUGUCUUGGCCAUUGAGGCCUUCUUUUCUCUUCUUUUUCUUCGGACCCAAAAAAAAGCCACAAGGACUCAUGAUUGUCAUGAAUUCAUAAUCUCUCAUCAAUGAGUUCAACAAUUUGGCAUGAUUUGAUAUUGGAGCAAAGCCAGAACGGUACAUUAUACAUAAGUUGCUCUAAAAUACACAUCACACUUGAUAUCAGUCCAGCUAACUUACAAUUAUUAUCACCGAAAGCACUGGUGGUUGCCUUUUCUUACCAUCACCCAGAAGAAAGCUGUUAUUUUGUUUCCAUUUGUCCUCAAAUACAUAAAACCAAAACCUUAAGGAAACAAAAUUAAUCAAAGCUUACCACAUACAUACCAAAAGAAAGGAACUUUCAGUCAUCCUUACCCCACUUGAAUCUUCAUCACAAAAAAAUGAAUCUCAAAGGAGAAUUAGUCUGAAAUAGAAGGAGAAAAAGACAAUAUCUGAUAUGUAUAUCUUUUAUGAUAAAAUUAAUCCGAAUUCAGUGAACAACAAUCAAAUUGGCUACGUCAUUCGCCGGAGCACUAGUGAGCCACGACGAGUAGUCUUCUUCUAGCAAGCAAUCUUUGAUCCUCGUUUACCAAAAUCUCAUUGAUCGAUUGCUUAGCCCAAAUGUUGACCUUGGAGCUGGGUUUGGGUCUUCAAACUAAUCUGAUUGAUUCAUUGCUUAACAGCCACUUUACAGGCAGACUGGGCUGGCGUUGUCAGAAACCCAGAUUAAUUUGCUUGUACAUUUUGGGCCCCAUUUCAUUAACGAGUAAAAUAAAAUAAAAUUUGAAGCCUUUUUAACAUAUUCAAGCAAAGAAUUAAAUUAGAAAAUUGGCAAAAAGAUGGUUCAAAUGUCAAGAGGUUUGAUUGAAUUUAUCCGAAGACUAAUCAUAACUGAACUGAAUAGUAAAAAUUACGAUAAUGAAAAAGAAAAAUGGCAUAAUUGUAAAAUGAUAUUUCGUAUAUAUGUUUUCUUGAAAUACAGAGGAAAGACAAUAUAUAAAGCCAAAAAAACUACCCAAGUAAGGUAAAUUAGAUCCUAAGUUAAAGGCACUACCCCAAGAAGGUAAAUUAGAUCCUAAGUUAAAGGCACUAUCUUAACAGAGAAGUUGACUAUAUAUUUAGUAAUCUUCGAAUAUCGUCAAUAUAUAUAUAGCAUGUAAUUUUUAUGUUACCUCUUCCAUUCUUUAAUAACAAAUGAGAGUUUGUUACAAAGCAAACAAGUCUUUAUAAAUAAAAUAAAACCCAUCUUAAAUUUAUUUCUUUUUUUCUCUUGGGUGUUAGAGUUGGGUGAAUUCGCCCACUUAAUUCGCCCAAAUUAUGCAGCUUAUCCAUAUAAAUAUAAAGUAAAUUUAGGUUUUAGCCACAAAAAAACUUUUACUUUUGGAAAAAGACAAAACUUUUUCAAAAAAAACAGAAAAACCCUUCAACUUUCAAAUCAAAGACAUUCAAAUGUAAAGGAUUCCUUAGAAAAUCCAAAAAUAAAUAAGAGCAUUUUUGUCCAUUUUGGCUUCUUUUAAAAAUAUCUCUCCAUAGGCCUUUUCCAAAAAUGCAUAUGAUUCAGUCAUGAAUGAAAACCAUGGUCAUGUAUAUAGACACAUAUCAAGUAUUGAGAAGAAUAAUAAAAAUACACCUUAGUUUAAAGUGAGAGCAAAAGCACUCUCUUUUUAUAUCCAAGAAACAAAAAUCUACUACAAUUAAGACUCAACUCAACUCUACUCUGCUACAAUUAAUACUAUUUAAAUUAGGAAUCUCUGAGUGCCAUGUGAGUUUAAUUGGUGUCCGAGUGGUUUCAUUUAAUUUAACAUAUCCUUGUUUCUUCCUUUUUCUCUUGUCGGGGGUGUUAGAGUGGGUCUUUUUUUGUGUGGGGAAAUUUAGAGUUGGGUCAGUUGGCCCAUUUAAUACGCCCAAACCAAGGAUGCUGCUUAUCCAUAUCCAGAUCCAGAUCCAGUCAUGAAUGAUGCAAUACAGCAUUAGCAGUUUCAUUCUAUAUAUCCAAUCCAAGUUCCAACAAAAAUAAUAUGAUACGAAUUCCAAUCUCACGUGAGUUUCCAAAAGUGUAUUUUUAAGUAAGGAAUUGCUCAGUGCCAAUGUCAUGUCACGCCCACGUGAGUGUUUAUUGGCGUCCGAGUGGUUUCAUUGGCCCUCAACUACAAUUUGUAUUUCUUUAUUAUUCCUCGAAGGAGAAAAUAUAAAUAGCCUAGUACCAUUCCAUUCCAUGCGAACCUAUCAAUGCCAUUGGCACUGCAAAUACUGCCUUUCCCAAAGUAGCAAAAGGAAAAAUUCAGAAGCUCAGGCUUGUAACGAUUGGGAAGAUGAAAACAUCCAUUUGCAUGCUUUCACUAACGCGGAUGCUGAUGCUUCUGGUUCUCUCUCACAACAUCUUGUGCACGGUAGCGGUAGCAGGAGAGAGAGAGCAGCAGACGAAAAAGACUUACAUCAUUCAGAUGGACAAAUCCAAAAUGCCUGCAAGUUUUGCCGACGAUCAUUUCCAAUGGUAUGGCUCCUCUUUGAAAUCGGUGUCCAACUCAGCAGACAUGCUCUACACCUACAAAAAUGUUAUCCACGGCUUCUCUACCAGGCUAACUGCUGAGGAAGCUGAGCUUCUUGAAAGACAAUCCGGAAUCCUUUCUGUUAUGCCUGAGUUGAGAUAUGAGCUCCACACAACUCGGACGCCCCAGUUCCUUGGAAUGUUAGGCGGCAUAAACGAAGCCGUCUUCCCGGCAUCAGAGAAACUCGGCAAGGUGAUUAUUGGAGUGGUUGACACCGGCGUAUGGCCUGAGAUCAAAAGCUACGAUGACAAAGGGCUUGGGCCAGUGCCAAGAAGCUGGAGAGGGCAGUGUGAGGAAGGCAAGAACUUCAACUCCUCAAGCUGCAACCGAAAACUCAUUGGUGCGAGGUUUUUCCCAAAAGGGUAUGAAGCAUCAAAUCUUGGACCCAUUGAUGAAAAAGUAGAAUCAAGAUCACCAAGAGAUGUUGAUGGCCAUGGAACUCAAGCCUCAACCAUUGCAGCCGGGUCUGCAGUUCCAGGAGCUAGCCUCUAUGGUUAUGCUUCGGGGACAGCAAGGGGAAUGGCUACACAAGCUAGAGUGGCCACAUAUAAGGCUUGCUGGUCUGGUUGGUGCUUGAGCUCUGAUAUUCUAGCCGCAAUGGACAAAGCUGUUGAAGAUGGUGUCCACAUUUUAUCUGUGUCUAUUGGGAGAUCGCAGUAUGAGGAUUUCUACACCGACUUUAUUGCUAUUGGAGCAUUCUCUGCCAUGGCCAAGGGAGUCUUUGUAUCGUGUUCAGCUGGAAAUCGUGGGCCAGAAGCGGAUAGCACUUCUAACAACGCACCUUGGAUAACCACCGUGGGUGCUGGAACAAUAGACCGUGAUUUCCCCGCUCAUGUUAGCUUGGGAAAUGGGAAAAAAUACAGAGGAGCAUCAAUUUACAGCGGAACACACUUAUCUAGUGGAUUGCAUCCGCUUGUUUAUGCUCGCAAUGCAAGUAACUCCACAAGUGACUCCACAAGUGAUCCAUGCGCUCCUGACAGCUUGAUUCCUGAAAAGGUUUUUGGGAAAAUUGUGGUGUGUGAUCAGGGAGGAACUUACAGCAGGGUCGAUAAGAGUAUGGUGGUCAAAAAGGCCGGUGGCAUGGGGAUGAUUUUGGCUGACAUUGAAGGUUAUGGAGAAGAACUUGUUGUCGACUCAUAUGUCUUGCCUGUAGUAGUGGUAGGCCAAAAAGAAGGUGAUGCAAUAAAAAGGUAUAUUGUCUCCCACGACAAUCCAAAAGCCACAUUUUCUGGCGGGAAGACAGAGUUAGGUGUCGAACCCUCACCGGUGGUGGCAGCAUUCAGCUCUCGAGGACCAAAUCCAGUCGCUUUAACAGUACUCAAACCAGACCUAAUAGCACCAGGAGUGAAUAUCCUAGCUGGGUGGACUGGUGCACUUGGACCAGCUAGACGAGCUGAGGACACCAGGCGGGUGAGCUUCAACAUUUUUUCAGGUACAUCCAUGUCAUGCCCACAUGUGAGUGGACUGGCUGCAGUUCUCAAGGCCGCUCACCCCAAAUGGAGCCCUGCAGCCAUUAAGUCUGCUCUCAUGACCACAUCCUAUGCAACGUACAAAAAUGGUGCACCAAUCAAAGAUGUUGCUACUGGAAAACCUGCAACACCAUUUGAUUAUGGCGCCGGGCAUGUCGACCCUGUGGCAGCCCUUGACCCAGGCCUUGUUUAUGAUCUUGGUGUCAAGGACUACCUAAACUUCCUCUGUGCCUAUCGUUAUACAAGCAGCGAUAUCAAGAUACUCACCCACAUAGACUUCACCUGCGAUUCAAGCAAGAAUUACAGCGC
rnacentral:lncRNA from 1 species